CAAGAAUCCCAAGCGGGUCACCACCAAAAUCAACACCAUCAUCAACCCCAACACCCCCAAUUUCAUCACCAACAGCAACAUGGUCAUGGCCAUGGCCAUGGCCAUCAUCCCAUGAUGAUGGCAAGACCACAACACCAUCAGCUUCAACAGCUUCAACAGCAGCAUCACCAACAUCAGCAGCAAGCUAACACCUUUGGUUUACCUAACAAUGUUCCAACACAUAACAACAACAAUUCUGCUAUGAUGCAACAGCUUCAGCAACACCAGCAGCAAAAUUCUGGUUUUCCUUUUAAUUCUGUGGUUAAUACGGCUUCUGCGGCGGUGGCGGCGCCUCAACAUAAUCUUG
rnacentral:misc_RNA from 1 species